rnacentral:rRNA from 1 species
UACGGAGGGGGCUAGCGUUAUUCGGAAUUACUGGGCGUAAAGCGUGCGUAGACGGUUGCGUAAGUCAGAUGUGGAAGCCCCGGGCUCAACCUGGGAAUUGCAUUUGAGACUGCGUAGCUAGGGUGCGGAAGAGGGAAGCGGAAUUUCCGGUGUAGCGGUGGAAUGCGUAGAUAUCGGAAGGAACACCAGUGGCGAAAGCGGCUUCCUGGUCCAGCACCGACGUUCAGGCACGAAAGCGUGGGGAGCAAACAGG